GUCGUCUAUCUAUCGGAUAAAAAGUCCCACGGAAACGCAGAUCUGUUCUCAUUGGAGCUGAAAAAUGAAAGAGGGGCAUCGAAAUACAAAGAAUCGGUUGCAUCCAAGGAUUCUUUUGAAUGGACCACAGCGAGAUUCAGAUCACGCAAUAUAAAACUAGGACAUUACUGGAAACUGACCUUGACUGCGCACGUUAAAUCGGUUGUGAUUGGAGGAGUAAGAUUCUGCAAGGAAGGGGAAUGGGUUUUUAAACCUAAAUUUGGAAAUCCGACAAGUUGCCAUUCAUUGGAGAAAAAGGCAAGAGAUGAUAAAGCGAUACCUGACGAACAUUUCAAUGAACUUCUCUAUGAACUGAGUGAGAGCAAAUUAUUAAAAGGAGGUUCAAAACUGUGUAAAGGAAUGAAUA